rnacentral:rRNA from 1 species
ACGAACGCUGGCGGCGUGCCUAAUACAUGCAAGUAGAACGCUGAAGAGAGGAGCUUGCUCUUCUUGGAUGAGUUGCGAACGGGUGAGUAACGCGUAGGUAACCUGCCUUGUAGCGGGGGAUAACUAUUGGAAACGAUAGCUAAUACCGCAUAACAAUGGAUGACACAUGUCAUUUAUUUGAAAGGGGCAAUUGCUCCACUACAAGAUGGACCUGCGUUGUAUUAGCUAGUAGGUGAGGUAAUGGCUCACCUAGGCGACGAUACAUAGCCGACCUGAGAGGGUGAUCGGCCACACUGGGACUGAGACACGGCCCAGACUCCUACGGGAGGCAGCAGUAGGGAAUCUUCGGCAAUGGGGGCAACCCUGACCGAGCAACGCAGCGUGAGUGAAGAAGGUUUUCGGAUCGUAAAGCUCUGUUGUAAGUCAAGAACGGGUGUGAGAGUGGAAAGUUCACACUGUGACGGUAGCUUACCAGAAAGGGACGGCUAACUACGUG